rnacentral:lncRNA from 1 species
CGCUCCGCUCAGACUCCUCAAGCUUCCUGCUGCCUCCAAUGCAAUGGUGGAGGAUGAGCUCCACUAAGGAACACAUCCGGCUCACAGAUCUGGCUGGCAUUGCUCUGUCUUGUAACAGCAGGUUUCUCUUUACUGCCUGAUUUUCUGCUACCCCUGUGGAGGGUCAUUUCUGUGUGUGUGUAUGUUAGCUGUCAGCCAGGGAUUUGGGAAGUUUGUGCUCUGAUUCUGGGUUUCACUCCUGUGACUUGUGUGCCAGGAUUUCCUCUUCCUAUUUCCAGCUGCUUUCCCGGCUCUAAGCUCCAAGUGCUAUCACCUUCAGUUGACCAGCUGCGUCUUUGUCCCUCCCCACAUCACUUUCUGCAGCCAGGGCAGCACUCCUGGACAGGAAGCCAUGAACUUGCAAUUCCACCAUUUCUUCCAGUUGCUUUUGGAGAAUUCAGUUUCAAAGUGCGAGUUGAGGAUAACAUUCUGGCUUUCAGAAAUCAUAAAUAAUGAACGGCACAUUUGAGUCAUUAUCGGUGGUUAUCCCUCUUAGAGUCCUCUUUGGUGUGCUCCGACCUAAGGCACCCGUGGAGAAGGAGAAGGAGAUCUCAAGAGGAAAAAUCAAUGCAGGAACAAAGAAACUCUUGGGUCUAGUGAAGAGAGACUGGAUCUUGCUAGGCGAGUCAGGGAUGGGGAGCUGGAACUGGGAAAUGUUAAUUUGCAAGGGUCCCCUGUGUAGCAAGAGGAAACUGCACAUCCCUCUAGCCUGAACUCUGUCUUCAGAUCCCAGCUUCCUACACUCUCACCUGGAGAACUCCCCAAGUUCUUUCUUCUCCUUCAACAUUCCCAACAUCUGGGCUUCCUCUGGGUCCUGGUUUCAGAUGAUUUUCACAUGUCCAUUUCUUGCUUCUACCCUGGGUGAGUUAAAUUUGGAUGACAAUACCCAGAUCUUACAGUUUGAAGGAGAAUUAAAUGGAAUAAUAUGUGCAGAAGUGUUUCGUCAACAGCAAAGUGCAUUUAAAGGCAGAAUGUGCAUGUGAGACAGCCAAGUGUAAAGGGGUCCCCAGAGAAACUCCAACCGACCUGCACACUGGAAGGAGUGUGCACUGGGGUGGAGCCUCGGGAAGUUCCUGCCCUUUGCCGUAGGGAAGGAGCCUGGCCUCUCCUGUUCAGAGAUGGAAGCAGGAACUCAAUCUGUGAGGUGGGAAGCCUGUACUUGCAGGACUCUCACUCUGCUGAGUCCCUGUUUCCAGUUUUUCCCAUUUUUGCCCAAUAAAUUCUUUUUUUCUCACCCUUCACAGUGUUUGUGAGCCCAAUAUUUCACGGCCAUGUGACAAGGACCCAGCUCUUAGAUGAACUAAGGAGAAGGUACUACAACAUUUUUGGUGCUCAUAAUGUGAGGCUUGAGAAGGGUGAGUGAGAUGUAAACCAAGAAAUCUUUUUCCCUCUCAUUUCUAAGUCUUUUCAUCCUUGGACAUCUGAGGAUAGAGGAAACCAUGCCCCCACCUCCACUGGGGGUUGGGGGCCUGUCCAUGUCCUUUUUCUUCCUUUUGUGGAAUGGCCAGGUGAGCAGCAGCUCCCUACCACCAUCCCCUCCCUGCCAGGGCUGGGACACAUGGCCCAAGAAGCCCCAGGCUGCUGGUUGGUGUUUUCUCCUCCGUGCCCAUGGAGUUUCCAUUUUCCCUGGCCAGGGAGGCCAGCUCCAUCCCAAAGCAAUUAAGCUUUUCUCCCGGGUGGAGGAACCAGUUGCAUAAGAAUAAGAGGUUCUUCCCCAGGCAUUUUUAAACUUUUUUUUUUUUUCAUCCCUUUCUCCACUCUGUCAGCAGUUAACUUUUAAAAAGGAAAAAGCAAGGUUUUUCCUUUUAGAAGACGUUUUACUAGGCUAGGAAUGAUAAGAAUCACUGUUAUAUCCUCUGUAAAGUUUUAAUUGUGAAAAAGGAUUUGUGAGGCUGGUCUUAAGCUAUAGCCAAUCUGGUGUACUUUGCAUGUCUAUAUGGCUUGCAGCAAACUUCACUGCAGGCAUCCGUCUUGUUUUACAUCCUGGGGCCGUGGCCUAUAGCCCCAUGGCAAGGUUUUGUUUAGAUAUCCUGCCUUAGGAAAUGAUUCCUUUCUGGUUUAAUAUCUGCAUGUUUUCCUAGCCCCUUCUCUUAAAGGGCUCCACCCAGCAACUGGGUUUUCUUCUGCCUGUCUGUGUAGUUAUACAUGUGUUGUGCAUAAUGAUACCUGUAAAAAGAGCUCUAAUUAACUUGGCCUAAAGGAAGACAUGUGCUUGGAUAAAAUAUUUUUUAAAGGGAAGAG